rnacentral:lncRNA from 1 species
AUGCUCAGCUACUUUAAAAAAAUGUUUUGUAGAGAUAUGGGUCUCACUGUGUUGCCCAGGCUGGCCUUGAAUUCCUGGGCUCAAGCAAUCCUCCUGCUAUGGCCUCCUAAAGUGCUGAGAUCACAGGCGUGUGUGACUGCACCUGGCUAAGCUGUGUUCUUUUUAUUCUUUACCAACAUGAGAACUCAAGAGUAGACAGACACUCAGACUUCCCCCAAAGUCAACCUUGCACAUAGGUGAAUUUUACAGCUACAAGAUUACAGGACUAUCAGCAGUUCUAUUUUUUUUUUCCCCCAUUUGGUCAUUUAUAAGCCAGUAGUGACACCAUCCUUUUCCCUGUAAAUCUCCUGAAAGAAAUCCCAAAUAUUAGACUAUUGCUUUGGGUUACACACUAAACAGGUAAAUGAUCUCCUGGACCACUAGAACCCACUACUAAAAUAUAUAUUUGGUACCAUAAUCUCUCUGGUCUGUUUCCUCAUCUAUAAAAUGGGAAUAAUAGUAGUAUCCACCUAAUAGAAUUUUUAAAAGUACUUAUUUAUAGUAUGAAAUAGAGACAGGGUCUCCUUGUGUUGCCCAGGCUGGUCUCGAACUCCUGGGCUCAAGCAAUCUUUCUACCUUGGCCUCUCAAAGUGCUGGGAUUUCAGGUGUAAUCACCAUGCCCAGCCUACAGCUGUCAUGAAGAGUAAAUAUUAAUACACGUAAAGCCCUUAGAACAGUGCCUACCAUAGAGCAGUCCACCAAUUAAAGUGACACAUUUAUUACCUAAGAGGGAAGAGAGAAUAAGCCAUCUUCCAUGAAGCUGUCAGCGAAGAGUGGCAGAAAAGUGGAGGCGAUUGAAACUGGGUGUAUAUUUAGAAAUGUUGCCAUGGUCACUGUUUCCAGUUUGGGCGUCUGUCAUUUGGCUGUUACAGCCUGCAGGAGAUACCCAUGGAAUGAGUAAAUCUCAAAAAAGUGGCUUUGAAUUUGAGCUUCAAUAGAAUCUUGAACAAAGAAAAGUACAUUUUUAGAGAUGUGACAAGAGACAAAGGAAAAGGACUUUAAUGCUCUAUGGGUGGCAAUUUAUAGGAAGGCAAAUGACCUUCAGAUAAACUCUGGCAGAGGCAAGGGCCUCCAGCCAGCUAAUGUGAUGGACACGGUAUCUGGAGAGUCCUGCAUUUCAAAACUUACUCUAAGGAAGACUGCUUUGAUUUUCAAAGUCUCUAGUCUACAGAGAGAUUGAGCUCUGGCUGCAAGACACUGUCUAUCAUAGAGCCACAUGGCGACAUUGCCGUAGAGAAGAGACAUAAAUAACCACAACUGCCAGAAAAUAAAGCUGGUAAUCUCUAGAAAUGCCUGGAUACAUUAAAAUGAAAUAUAACCCAGUACUCUGGUUCUUUAGACCCCGUUGAAUACUUUGUUCUCAGUCAGCUGAUAAAAUUUUAAUUUAUUAUUGCGUGUUUAUGAUGAAAUGUAACAUAACUCAUUCAUUGUGUCUGUUAAUCCUCUCAUUCAUAAAAAUAGCAUAUGUGUUGAUGAUCUACAUUAAAGUAAUUGUUUACCAUGGGUAGUAUUAUAGCGAUAAUCUAUAAAUAAUGUGAAAGUUUGUAGAAAAUUAAAGUAUAUAGAACUGUAGAAAGAGAUAAAUCUUUAAAUAUUUAAGGUUUUGAUCUGCUUGUAUAAUGAACUGGUGUUUUAGCCAUUUGAGCCACCUAGUGGUAAUAUACAUGAGAUAUGAUUUCUUAUUCUGAAAAAAAAUGUAAAAGUUUAACAGUUUCCAAUUUAAAAGGAAUAAACUAAGUAAAGCGAAUCAUAACCAUUAUAUAUUAUACAUUCAGCUUUUGAAUUAUUACUUAUUGGUAGAAGAUUGACUAUUAGAAAAUAAAUUAUAAAAACAGUUCUUUGCUUAUUUUGUUUCUUCUAAUAGAGGCCACAUAGCCAAGAAAAUUAAAAUUAUAAAAAAUUAUAAUUGAAGGGGAUAUUUGCAAUAUGUAUAAGAAAGAAAAAGCAAUCAAAUAUUUAGUGGACUAAAAUGAAUAAUACACUUUCCAACUUAAUUGUAUUCCAAUGUAACCUUUGAUAAGUGGUCUUCAGUGUAGUCAUAUUCUCUUAAGUCUGUCUUUUAGCCAAUCAUUAGUCUGUCUUCUUAUAUUCAAGGAACAAAACUGAAUCACUAAUCUGCUCAGUGAUCCAUUAGAAAUACUCUGUAACUGAUCACACUGUGUCUAAUUUUAGAUUUCUUUUACUGGGAACUGUAGAUCAAAGCAAGUUUCCAUUUUGGCUCUAUUCUGGUAUAAUAACUUCCGGCAGAGCCAAAUCAUGAAAUACUGCUAACUUCACGUGUUAGAAUCCACAUUCAUCUUUGCCUUGUUAACUUUUAAGGAGCUUUUUAUUUAUUGUUCCAAGAAUGCCAGGUUCUUUGGUUUCCUGCUUUCUUAAAUUGCCAUGUGUCUCUAAAUAGGUUUUUUUCAAAAUCGGAAUUAGCACAAAGAUAGAUAGAUUUGUCUUCUUUGAAUUCACCAGCCUCCCUACUUGGUAGGAUUGCAAAACUAUCUUAUGAACCCAGCAGAGAAAAUAUCCUCUCUUCUUGAUGAUCCUGCUUGUUGGAACUCUGACCUCUCCAUUUCUUCUGUGGUUUCACUGGGUAAUCUGAAGACAAGUCUUCACAUGUGGUUCCUGGAAGCAAUGACAUCUAAAGUUGAUCUAAAGUCGAGAGGAUUGAAGCGUGCCAGCCUGAGUCGUUUUGAACUCAGCUCUAGUGAGAAGUCUGAGAUAUUCUCUGGUGUCAAACUCAGGAGAUGUGAAUUGUGGUGCUGCUUCUUAGGGAAUAUGAGGGAGCAGGGCUUUUCUUUCUUCUGGGUGCAUUUUUAAUGCAGA